rnacentral:tRNA from 1 species
AUACUAGUGUCAGAGAGUUAUAUGAAUUGAUUUUAAGCGUCGAAUACGAAAUGUUAAGUUUCCUAGUAUU